rnacentral:tRNA from 1 species
GGCUGGAUGGCGGAGUGGUUACGCGUCGGAUUGCAAAUCCGUUCAUCCUGGUUCGAUUCCAGGUCCAGCCU